CCUAANCACAUGCAAGUCGAACGGUAACAGGCCUUCGGGCGCUGACGAGUGGCGAACGGGUGAGUAAUGCAUCGGAACGUGCCCAGUCGUGGGGGAUAACGCAGCGAAAGCUGUGCUAAUACCGCAUACGAUCUGCGGAUGAAAGCGGGGGACCUUCGGGCCUCGCGCGAUUGGAGCGGCCGAUGUCAGAUUAGGUAGUUGGUGGGGUAAAGGCCCACCAAGCCGACGAUCUGUAGCUGGUCUGAGAGGACGACCAGCCACACUGGGACUGAGACACGGCCCAGACUCCUACGGGAGGCAGCAGUGGGGAAUUUUGGACAAUGGGCGCAAGCCUGAUCCAGCAAUGCCGCGUGCAGGAAGAAGGCCUUCGGGUUGUAAACUGCUUUUGUACGGAACGAAAAGGUCUGGGUUAAUACCCUGGGCUCAUGACGGUACCGUAAGAAUAAGCACCGGCAACUC
rnacentral:rRNA from 1 species